AUGGCUCAGAUUGACUCAAUUGUUAACAAACUUACUAACAGAUACAACAAAAUCAGGAGGAGAUUCAUCCACCAGAAAAAAAGUCACAAAAAUCAUAGAGAAAACUCACCUAUGAGAUUCUCUGAUAUCUUAGCCUUCUCUCUGCAAUCUUUGCAACGUCACUCUCAACUCUUCACAAUCUUCAUCUGUCAUCACAGAACCUCUUCAACAUCAUCAUCAUCUUCACAUCUCAAUUUCAAUCAUCUUCUUCAACGUAUCUACAUCUGUUACUCAACCUCUCCAUCAAUAUCUGAAACUCCUCUGCUAACAAUCUUCAUUGCAAAUUUCUGUAGCUGA